rnacentral:rRNA from 1 species
CAGUAGCGUAUAUUAAAGUUGUUGCAGUUAAAAAGCUCGUAGUUGGACGUCUCUCCUUGGAAUCCUUCCAGGUGACCGAGGAGAUCUGCCUAGCAGCUCCACUCGGCGUUUACUCGUCGGUGGUGAUAUGCGGGCAUUUUACCUUGAGGAAACUAGAGUGUUUAAGGCAGGCUCCUGCCUGAAUACCGCAGCUGGGAAUAAUGCGCUCGGAAUGUCUUGGCGAGACACUUCGAAUUCAUUAAUAGGGACAGUUGGGGGCAUUCGUACUCAGCAGUCAGAGGUGAAAUUCUUGGAUUUGCUGAAGACGGACUAGUGCGAAAGCAUUUGCCAAGGAUGUUUUCAUUGA